UACGUAGGGUGCAAGCGUUGUCCGGAAUUAUUGGGCGUAAAGAGCUCGUAGGCGGUUCGUCGCGUCGGCUGUGAAAUCCCGAGGCUCAACCUCGGGUCUGCAGUCGAUACGGGCGGACUGGAGUUCGGCAGGGGAGACUGGAAUUCCUGGUGUAGCGGUGAAAUGCGCAGAUAUCAGGAGGAACACCGGUGGCGAAGGCGGGUCUCUGGGCCGAUACUGACGCUGAGGCGCGAAAGCGUGGGGAGCAAACAGG
rnacentral:rRNA from 1 species